CUUCCGGGGGGCGGCGCGAACGGCAAUGGCGGUCUUCUCCCGACGGGAGAGGAGGCUCCGCUGAAAUCGGGUCGUCCGCUACGGCGAAGCGGAGACCCAACGAGGAAAACCCCAGGCAGCAAGAGCCUGGGGUCCUGAGGCUCGGCGGGCGCCACGAGCAGCCCUCCAACCGCAGAAGGAGCCUCGUAAGGGGCUCCGGAGCGUGGAGGGGGGUUGCGGUGCUGAGAGCCGUUUCACAGUCAGCGGAGUGAAGCCGCGCUGCUGCUGCCGGUGAGCGCUGAUCCCUUUUCCUGUCAAAAUUCGGACUUGGAAGAAAAACAACUUAUUCGUGAGUAAAGACUGAAUCACUUGGAAUUACAAAUUUUAAAUGAGAAGGUUUAAUUCGGCUUGAACUUGGCUGAAAGCGGAGAGACGUGGAAACAGGAAGUCCGUCUUCCGCAGCCAUUGAACUUGAAAAAAAAGCAACUAAGGCGGAGGAGUGGAGGCUGAAAGAAAGAGAUUUUAAACUCUACACAGCCAAGCAUCUAUGGAACUUACAAUUUAAAGUAAAACCAGUAAGCUAAAGAUUUGGAUCUUUUAUUUGCACUUGACUUUCCCCCUUUUAUUGGAUUACAAAUUGGAAGGUGAAACCCAGAGUCAGGAUUGCUUGAGCACUGUAAGAGUGAGCUGUCAGUGUUGAUUUGGAUACUGUAUAUUAGAAUUUGCAACAAUCUGAGGGUAUUGAGACCUUUUAAAUUUGAAACAUUCUUUUUGGAGACAAAUAAGCACUGUCUGCAACAAAGUGAUUACUUUUAAACUCUGCUUAAUACUUAUAUUGGAAGGUUCUGGGACAUUAAAUCAGACUCUGAAAGACAUCUUAAGCUCCCUCUAGAGGAUUGGAUUAAAACAGUGACUUUACAAAUACAUUUACUUUCGAUUCCCUUGUUGUUUGCUUGCUCUGGGCCUUUCUAUUCCUGUGGGAAAAACUCAGUGUGACCUUGACUGAUAGAUAACAUUGGAAUGAGUGGUACAAGAAGAAGAGGAAGAGUCAGACAAACAACUUUAACAACUCUAACCUCAGCCUCGCAGACACGUAGAUCAUCUGUGCCUACUUUGCCCUCAGAAGUACAACUUGAAGAAGCUGCUUUGCCACAGGCAAAAGAGGGAGAGGGUGAAGCAGAGCAGUUACAAUUGGAAGAUAUGGCCUCAGGAGCAUCUGUUUCUGUACUAGAAAAAAUCUUUGAAAAAUUGGAAGCUUUGGACAAGAAAGUAGAUGCGCAAUCAGCAAAGAUUGAUAAAAAUACAGAUUGUCUAAACAAAUUAACUACACAGGUGGGACAGAAUACACAAGCAAUUGGACAGUUAACGGAGGCCUCAGUAGAAAACCGAAAAUUGGCUGAGGAUACCAGACAAAAAUUGGAAAAUUUAGAGCAAGAGGUAAGACCACUCACUAAACAAGUUGGGGAACAUCAGACUUAUCUUUCUAUGAUAGAACUGCGAAAUCGUGAGAAUAAUUUGAGGAUUAGAUCAUUACAAGAGGCAGAAGAAGGAAAUCUAACUGAGUUUUUGACCAAAGAACUUUCCAAGUUCUGGAAUUUGGAAGAAAAGGACUUUAAAAUUGUGUCAGCUUUCAGACUUGGAAGAUUUAUAAAGAAGGAGAGGCCCAGGGAUUGUUUGAUUACAUUGAGAUCGAAGGAGGAAAGGGAUAAGAUUUUGGGUCUACAUUACGAAAAGUCACUGGAGGUUUUGGAUAGAAGAAUUGAGAUAUAUAAAGAUAUUCCAAGACAACUGUUGGAUCUCAGAGCCGCCUACUCUGAACUUGCUAAAUUAUUAAGGAGCAACGCAAUUCCAUUCAGGUGGGAAUUUCCCCAAGGAUUAUCUUUUACCUUUAGAGCGAGAAAGGUCAAAAUUAGAACAUUGGAAGAGAGAGAUAAAUUUCUGGCUACAUACGGAGAGGACCUACAAAAAGGAAUUGAACUACCUUCCGGGCCUGGGGCAAAGCCAGCAUUAAUACCUGCACCUGGGGAACUUGAAGAUCCAGAGAAGACACCACCCCGGGAGAAAUAACCAGACAGAUCCAGGAUGUCUCUGCAACUGUUGAGCUGGAACAUUAAUGGUUGUAACAUUCCGGAGAAAAGGAAGAAAAUAUUUCAUAUAUUAAAAAAAGAACAAUUGGACAUUAUCUGUUUACAAGAAACACAUGUGACGAGGCUCCACAGAAAAGUGUUAAUAAAUAAAAGAUUGGGCCAGGAAUUUAUUUCGUCGGACAAAGUGAAGAAGAGAGGAGUGGUGAUAUAUGCAAAGAGAGCCUGUCACCUAAAUUUCUAUUUAAAGAUGAACAUGGAAGGAUUUUGGCUAUUGAGAUACAAUAUCAAGGAGAGAAACUGCUGAUAUUAGGAAUCUAUGCACCCAAUGAAGGGAAAUCGGAAUUUUACAAGAAGUUGCAGGGGACAAUGCUGGAUCAUCUGGAUUACAACAACAUCAUAAUGAUGGGAGACAUGAACGGGGUCGUAUCAACUAACAUGGACAAGUCGCAAAGUCAAAAUGUCACAAAAGAUGGCAGACUACCUAAAACCUUUUUUUGAAAUGACUGACAAUAUGGACUUGAUCGACAUUUGGAGAACAAAGAACCCACUAGGUAGAGAAGGAACAUUCUUUUCUGAAGCCCAACUGACCUGGACAAGAAUCGACCAAAUAUGGAUUUCUAGAGGCCUGGCACCUAGGGUUAGAAAAGUGGAAAUCUGCCCAAAGACCUGCUCUGACCACAACGCAGUAAAGAUGGAUAUGACACUACUACCAACUGGAUCCUUUAGAUGGAAGAUGAAUGACAAUUUGUUUAGAGAUCAGGAAAUUACCAAGAAGGCCCAAAAAGUUUUGAAAGACUAUUUCGAGAUAAACAUGAAUAAUUCGGUGGAAAAAGAAUCGUCUGGGACGCAAGCAAAGCUGUCAUGAGGGGAUUCUUGAUACAACAGAAUGUAGUAAGGAAAAAAACACAAAAUGAGAAAAAAGACAAGAUCUUGGAU